GCGAGCGCCUCGCGCCGCCGCCGCGCUGCUGGGGGCGGCCGCCGCCGCCGCUCCCGCCCUCGACCUGCUGGCUGAAUACAACACCAAGCUGCCAUCUUUGAUGAUCACCUUCAUCAACUUUGUCGGACUCGUGCUAUCACUGGCUCUUUCGAGAUCAACUCUCGACCAAUCAGCACACAGCUGUGUCAGGGAGAGGCGCUGGCACAGAGCGGCUUGCUGGCUGUUGCGGCAGCUUCCACAGAGAAGGUCACGAAGACAGACAAAAACUCAGCAUCAGUCAGCAAAUCCAAUUGUUACAUCAAGUGUACCAUACAGUCAGCUGCAAAUUGUGUGAUUAUCCCUAAUGGUAUCGUCUCUAGCACCAGGGCAUCAACUAUUAUAAUGUUUGUAAUUUAAAAUAAAAGUUUUAUUAUAAAUAGAUCCUCUUUUCUUGU